rnacentral:rRNA from 1 species
AUUGAACGCUGGCGGCAGGCUUAACACAUGCAAGUCGAGCGGGGGCUUCGGUCCUAGCGGCGAACGGGUGAGGAAUGCCUGGGAAUCUGCCUGGUAGUGGGGGAUAACGAUUCGAAAGGGUCGCUAAUACCGCAUACGUCCUACGGGAGAAAGCAGGGGACCUUCGGGCCUUGCGCUAUCAGAUGAGCCCAGGUCGGAUUAGCUAGUAGGUGAGGUAAAGGCUCACCUAGGCGACGAUCCGUAGCUGGUCUGAGAGGAUGAUCAGCCACACUGGAACUGAGACACGGUCCAGACUCCUACGGAGGCAGCAGUGGGGAAUAUUGGACAAUGGGCGAAAGACCUGAUCCAGCCAUGCCGCGUGUGUGAAG